UAACUCUCGUUUGGUAUACAAGGAACCGAUCGACCUCGAAAACGCCGGAUCACUUGGAAAGAGCGCUCUCUCUCCCGCGCGCUCUCUCAAUGGAAGUUUUGUCAGUCGGCUCCAUCCCUUCCCCUCUUUUUCUUGUAGGAACUCCAAAACCAGAGCGUUUGAGGGUUCGUUCCCAACAAAAAGACUCACCAAAUCGAGCUUUAGCUCGCAAGAUAUUGCGGCACUGGAAGGAGCAAGUAAGUGUUGAUCAGAAGACUUCAAUAGAUUGUGCUGCACUAAUCCAAACUUUAAGCAGGAAAAACUUACCUCAUGUAGCUGAGGAGAUUCUUUUUGAGAUGAGAUCUGAAGGUUUUCCAAUUGACAGUUCUGCUUUGUCAGCUCUGAUGCUAUGCUAUGCUGAUAACGGUCUUUUCCCGGAAGCGCAUACAAUUUGGGAUGAAAUCCUCAACAGUUCAUUUGUGCCGAAUAUUCAAACCGUUUCACAACUCUUUGAUGCCUAUGGAAGGAUGGGACAGUUUGAUGAAGUGAUCAGAAUUAUGCGGCAACUAAGUAUGAGGCAUUCUAGUUUGCUUCCUGAGAUUUAUGUAUUGGCUCUUUCUUUCUUUGGAAAGCAAGGACAGCUUGAGAUGAUGGAAAGUACACUUAGAGAUAUGAUCUCAAGGGGUUUCUCAAUGAAUUCUGCCACCGCAAAUGCUGUUCUUACAUAUUAUAGUUUUUUUGGUUCUUUAGCCGAGAUGGAAUCUGCUUAUGCUCGUUUUAAGAGGUCCAGAAUUCUCAUAGAAGAAGAAGGUAUUAGAGCAGUAUCAAUUGCUUACAUCAACAAAAAGAAAUUCUAUAGCCUAGGUGAGUUCUUAAGGGAUGUGGGUCUUCGUAGGAGAAAUGUGGGUAAUCUCCUAUGGAACCUUCUGCUUCUGUCUUAUGCUGCAAAUUUCAAGAUGAAAAGCUUGCAAAGAGAAUUUCUGAAAAUGGUGGAAUCUGGUUUCAAUCCUGACCUUACGACAUUUAACAUUCGAGCCCUUGCUUUUUCAAAAAUGUCUUUGUUUUGGGAUCUUCAUGUAAGCCUUGAACAUAUGAAGCAUGAAAAGGUUGUCCCUGAUCUCGUGACUUAUGGUUGUGUCGUUGAUGCUUACUUGGACAGAGGAGUGGGAAUGAAUUUGGACUUCGCUUUAAGUAAAAUGAAUGUGCAUGAUUCUGCACGGGUAGCAACUGAUCCACUUGUAUUUGAGGUUUUGGGAAAAGGGGAUUUCCAUUCAAGCUCGGAGGCAUUUUUGGAGUUUAAGAGGUGGAAGAAUUGGACUUACAAGAAGCUGAUUGCAACCUACCUCAAGAAGAAGUACCGGAGUAGCCAAAUAUUCUGGAAUUACUGAGUUGUGCAUUUUGGAAGAGGAUUCUAAGUCCAAAUGCACUGAAUUGUUGCCUGCUGAUAUUAUCUCAGAAUAAAUACUCAUGCUUACCAGUUACCACUAGAAAGUCAUAUCUUUAUUGUUACAAACCUCCUUGUACUCUUUACGACAUCCCAAAGAGGCAAGAAGUACCAAGAUUGUGGGACGAAGGCAGUAUAUUUUUCUUAUGUGCUCAGUAUGGCCUAAUCAAGUUUGAUACUAAACAGUUUGUGUCAAUCGCAAACAAUGUGUAUUCUCAGUAUACAAGGGGUAUUUGUUCAGAUCUUUAGUCUUCCUAAUACUCAUUAUCCACAAGUCGAGACCACAUGGAAGAGCAACCAAGAGGGCAAUAAAGUUAUCCAGAUUCUUAUCAUAUGGAAGACCAUUUGAAUCACAGCACAUUACUUUGUAGUUCAGUGUUAACUGGUAACUCAUUACUCUUGCAAAGCACAAGGCCGAAGCUUCAAAUCUCAGCCAUGACAUAUUUUACACAUGUUCCAGACCAGCCAUCAGCGCUUCUUCAUGCUCGGCGGUUCACCUAAUUAAACAUUGGUAUACACGCAUGCGGUUUUAGAUUGCAUGGAUCCCGAGAGAUGGUCAAUUUACGGGUAGUAUUGAUAGAUCCACAAACAGAAGUUGACGGUGUGAAUUGAUUGGGAUUUCGCGCUGAAUUCUCAGAUGCAAGCGCUGUGCAAUUUGACACCCUAUGUUUGAAUUAUGUGACCAUGUGACCUAGGGUAUUCCCCUUGUGUGCUUGUAUCUUUUUUUUUUUUCUAUAUAUAAGCUCACCUUACCCGAAAGAAAGGGGUAAAAGCCCGUUAUUGGUUUUCUCACUGCUCAGAUUUUUUAAUAUAACUUUUUAGGAAUUGGUUUACAACUUGAUAUGUUGGUUGAAUGGCGCAUAGUUUGCAACUGGAGCUUGGAGACACCAAACCCUUUAACCCCAACAGGACAUGUUCAUUUCUAUAUUCCCAAACUACAGUAGUGAAUUGGCGACAACCUUGUUCCUCAUAAUUUAAAUUCUAGCAAUUAAUAAGGUCAGAUAAGUUCCUUCCUGGGCAACAACAAAACAUAAUCGGAGCUGCAAAUAUACCUUAAAAUACGUUAGGAUCGACUACAUUAUCUUAGUCCUCCCCCCUCCCUAUAGGUUGUAUCCCAAAAAUACCUUCAUUACAACCUCCAAAUGCUAACCUUUAGCCCAAAGUCCAGCAACCAGGAGGCACAUCUAUCUCCCCAGUGACCACCACCCAGAAUUGCCAUCUCCUUCCUUCCUUCCUUCCUUCAUUCCAUUCACACCCACUGAAUGCCCCUCCAUCAUCUCUUGCGGUUCUUAUGUCUCCCCUUCCUCUUUCACAAACGACUGCCAUCCCCUUGCCACCGCUGCCCCCUCCCCAUCCAUUUUCCCUCCCGACCCAGCCCCCUUCCUUUCUAUUGCUCUCCCUCCCUUCCUUCCUUCAUACAUCCAUUUUUCAUCUAUACAGUUUAGUUAUACAGAACUUGCACCAUUCAGAAUUCAGUAUCCAUGCAAUUGCUCUUGGUUAAUUGUCCUUCAUACUGUUCGCUUGUCUUAUCCUUAAUUCUGUUUGCUUAUCGAUGUUAGAAAAUAUUGCUUUUGUUCCGCGGCCUAGAACAUAACUUGUUUCCUUGUGGCCCUUGUGGUCCCAACUACCCGUGAAUACACAUUAGAUCAUCAGCACAAUAGUCUAUAGAAGCCCUAAAUUAAAUUAGAAAAGUCAGCUGCCCAUCUCUCUCUCUCUCUCUCUCUCAUCUUCCUUCUUUAAGAAUUUAAAUGGGUUUGUGUUGAGUUUAGGAAAAAAAAUGCAAGACUGAUAGAAGACUUGCUGCCAUUUACGGUGCUGAGUGUUUCAGUCGAAUAGGUUGAUGAAAUAAGAAUUGAUGGAAUGUGAAUGUUGAGAGAUAAAUGAGCUGUAUUAGAAGAGAAGACAGGAUAAGAUAUGAACCAUCAGGAAGAAAUUGGUAGUGGCACUUGUUGAAGAUAAGAUGAGGGAAAGCUGUUUGAGGUGACAUGGUUGUGCGCAUUUGUAGACAUAGAGCACUUAACGAAAUGGAGGCAGACCAGGACUACUGGGUUGGUUGAUUCGAAAGG